AUUGAACGCUGGCGGCAGGCUUAACACAUGCAAGUCGAGCGGGGAAAGGUAGCUUGCUACCUGACCUAGCGGCGGACGGGUGAGUAAUGCUUAGGAAUCUGCCUAUUAGUGGGGGACAACAUUCCGAAAGGAAUGCUAAUACCGCAUACGCCCUACGGGGGAAAGCAGGGGAUCUUCAGACCUUGCGCUAAUAGAUGAGCCUAAGUCAGAUUAGCUAGUUGGUGGGGUAAAGGCCUACCAAGGCGACGAUCUGUAGCGGGUCUGAGAGGAUGAUCCGCCACACUGGGACUGAGACACGGCCCAGACUCCUACGGGAGGCAGCAGUGGGGAAUAUUGGACAAUGGGCGAAAGCCUGAUCCAGCCAUGCCGCGUGUGUGAAGAAGGCCUUUUGGUUGUAAAGCACUUUAAGCGAGGAGGAGGCUACUUGGAUUAAUACUCUAGGAUAGUGGACGUUACUCGCAGAAUAAGCACCGGCUAACUCUGUGCCAGCAGCCGCCGCAG
rnacentral:rRNA from 1 species